AUUGAACGCUGGCGGCAGGCCUAACACAUGCAAGUCGAACGAGUGGCGGACGGGUGAGUAAUGUCUGGGAAACUGCCCGAUGGAGGGGGAUAACUACUGGAAACGGUCGCUAAUACCUCAUACCAUAGGAUGUGACCAGAUGGGAUUAGCUAGUCGGUGGGGUAACGGCUUACCUAGUCGACGAUCCCUUGCUGGUCUGAGAGGAUGACCAGCCACACUGGAAUGGAGACACGGUCCAGACUCCUACGGGAGGCAGCAGUGGGUAAUAUUGUACAAUGGGCGCAAGCCUGAUGCAGCCAUGCCGCGUGGAUGAAGAAGGCCUUCGGGGUGUAAAGUACUUUCAGCGAGGAGGCGUUACUCGCAGAAGAAGCACCGGCUAACUCCGUGCCAGCAGCCGCGGUAAUAC
rnacentral:rRNA from 1 species